AGGUUUUGGAUGAUGCGUGAUUGAAGGGAAACGCUUCUUCUCCGUGCUAACGACGUCUUCAGGGGUUUUGGAUGAUGAGAGUGAUCAUGGCUUUGAUGGGACACGCUUCUUCUCUGUACUACUUCUUCAAAGGGUGUUUUGGAAGCCAGUUAUGAUAUGAUCAUGGCAUUCU